UACGUAGGGGUCGAGCGUUGUCCGGAGUUACUGGGCGUAAAGCGUGCGCAGGCGGCUCAUUGCGCCCGGCGUGAAAGCCCCCGGCUCAACCGGGGAGGGUCGUCGGGGACGGGUGAGCUUGAGGGUAUCAGGGGUUGGUGGAAUUCCCGGUGUAGUGGCGAAAUGCGUAGAGAUCGGGAGGAACACCCGUGGCGAAGGCGGCCAACUGGGAUACACCUGACGCUGAGGCACGAAGGCGUGGGGAGCGAACGGG
rnacentral:rRNA from 1 species